rnacentral:lncRNA from 1 species
AACAACUAUUUCACUCCAACUAAUCAAGCAUUCAAGCUCUGCAACGUGCUCUUCAACGAAAAAGAGGAAGAUCUGCCUUUACUGCUUCCAACUACAUCUUCCCAGCAAUUAAAGCCUCCUUCUCCUGCAUUCAAGUCGACUACUCUUUCAAGAGGAGACCAGAAGUUUAAGAAGCCAUUCCUCAUCUCCAAUCUAAAAGCGUUUGAGGCUUCUUAACUUCAUUUAUUGUUCAUAUUGUUUUCAUCUGCUUUUUGAGAAGCUCAUUUUCUGUUUUCUUUCUACAACUUGUAUUUACUUGGUUCAAUCGGGGAUUGAAUCAAGGGGAUUGAGGUUGGUUGGUGAGCCGAGUUAAAACCAACGUGUGUAAGGGUUCGAUUGUGAUCCCGGAAAACAAUCGGGGGUGGUUCUAGUCGGUGAGCCUGGGAAAACCGACCGAGUUCGUUGUGAGCUCGUAAAACAACAAGUUUGGUUGUGAGCUUGGAAAA